ACGCUGGCGGCGUGCCUAACACAUGCAAGUCGAACGCGAAAGCCCCGCAAGGGGUGAGUAGAGUGGCAAACGGGUGAGUAACACGUGGGUGACCUGCCUUCGAGUGGGGGAUAACGUCCCGAAAGGGACGCUAAUACCGCAUGACAUCCUGCUUUUGGAAAAGCGGAGAUCAAAGCUGGGGAUCGCAAGACCUGGCGCUUGAAGAGGGGCCCGCGCCUGAUUAGCUAGUUGGUGGGGUAAUGGCCUACCAAGGCGACGAUCAGUAUCCGGCCCGAGAGGGCGGACGGACACACUGGGACUGAGACACGGCCCAGACUCCUACGGGAGGCAGCAGUGGGGAAUUGUUCGCAAUGGGCGCAAGCCUGACGACGCAACGCCGCGUGGAGGACGAAGAUCUUCGGGUCGUAAACUCCUGUCGAGUGGGAAGAAUGGACCGAGGGUGAAUAUCCCUUGGUAUUGACGGUACCACUAAAGGAAGCCCCGGCUAACUCCGUGCCAGCAGCCGCGGUAAUACGGGGGGGGCAAGCGUUGUUCGGAAUUACUGGGCGUAAAGGGCUCGUAGGCGGCCAACUAAGUCAGACGUGAAAUCCCCAGGCUUAACCUGGGAACUGCGUCUGAUACUGGAUGGCUUGAAUUCGGGAGAGGGAUGCAGAAUUCCAGGUGUAGCGGUGAAAUGCGUAGAUAUCUGGAGGAAUACCGGUGGCGAAGGCGGCAUCCUGGACCGACAUUGACGCUGAGGAGCGAAAGCUAG
rnacentral:rRNA from 1 species